GGCCCACUAGCUCAAUCGGCAGAGCAGUUGACUCUUAAUCAAUUGGUUCCAGGUUCGAGUCCUGGGUGGGUCA
rnacentral:tRNA from 2 species